rnacentral:snoRNA from 1 species
GUGCAAAUGAUGUAAACGUUUGUUACCACUGAGUAAAGUGAUGUUUCCAAAGGAACCACUGAUGCAC